AUAACACCCAAGCAAGUUGGUUAUUGUCUGACUUGAAAAAGCGAGACUUCCCC
rnacentral:misc_RNA from 1 species